UACGUAGGGCGCAAGCGUUAUCCGGAAUUAUUGGGCGUAAAGAGCUCGUAGGCGGUUUGUCGCGUCUGCCGUGAAAGUCCGGGCUCAACUCCGGAUCUGCGGUGGGUACGGGCAGACUAGAGUGAUGUAGGGGAGACUGGAAUUCCUGGUGUAGCGGUGAAAUGCGCAGAUAUCAGGAAGAACACCCGUGGCGAAGGCGGUUCUCUGGGACGGUACUGACGCUGAGACGCGAAAGCGUGGGGAGCGAACAGG
rnacentral:rRNA from 1 species